GGUACUACACCGAUUUGAGCGGAUUACACUGAUGUUGUAAAUUAUAAGAAGUUUUAUUCUUUAGUACCU
rnacentral:tRNA from 1 species